CUUAAUCCAACAUCGAGGUCGCAAACCCCCCUGCCGAUAAGAACUCUCAAGGGAGAUAACGCUGUUAUCCCUAAGGUAAUUUAUUCUUACAAUCAAAAUAAAUGGGAUAAGCAAAUAUAAAUAAAUAUAACAACAUAAAGGAGGGGUUAAAUAAUAUCCCUCCCAUCACCCCAACAAAACAUAUUAAACAGCCCUAGUGAACCCUCACAAACAGAAAGAGACCAUAAUAAAUGUAAAACUCUAUAGGGUCUUCUCGUCCCAUAAAAACAUCUAAGAAUUUUAACUCAAAGACCAAAUUCAAUAAACAAUUCAAAAUUAAGACAGCUCAUGCCUCGUCAAGCCAUUCAUACCAGAUCACAAUUAAAGAACUAAUGACUAUGCUACCUUUGCACGGUCAAAAUACCGCGGCCCUUCAACAUUCAAGGUCAGUGGGCAGGCCAUACUUCAAAAACUAA
rnacentral:rRNA from 1 species